rnacentral:tRNA from 1 species
GAAACUUAGGAUUACUACAAACCGAAG